GCAAGUCAUCUAAUUUGUGAAUUUGUUUAUCCUGAAAGGGUCCAGGAUGCAGCAAUUCGAAGGAAGGCGAAGUCUUGGUGAUAAAGAUGAUUUACAAGAUCAGCCAUGUGGAAAGGUUCCGUAUGAACUUUGGUUAAAACUAUUUGGUUUGAUUGACAACAGUUUGAUUGACAAAGUUCGGGAUGCUGCUAACAAGGGUGUGUCAUUGGAAACCCUUACUAAUCCAUCAGCACCAUCAAAUAAACCGUCUUCUGAAAAAACAUCAUUGAAAAGGCUGACCAUCCUGACAAUAUUGACACUUGUUUUAGUUAAAAGAGCGUUUACAAUGGUUAACCCGAAUUUGAUGAUCAAUACUUAUCUUGGUGAUGUUACUGGAUAUUGGUUGAACACAACAGUUUACUUUCAAUUUCCGUUGUUUGUUUAUAUACUGACUGCUUUGUUUACCAUGAGGAGGUUCGUUUCCCACGAAAAAGAUCUGAAAUGCUUUAUUCCAUUUGCUCCGAUACCAGAAAUUCCCAUACCUUGUCAAUGCUAUAAAAAAAUACGAUACAAAACUAGAAUUAGAUUUAUGACUUUAGCAGUAGUUGUUAUUGUACUUACAUUAUCACUGUAUCCAGCUUAUCCAACUAUCAAGACCAUCUACUUUGAUCCAAAUCCCUUUAUUGAAUAUCGUAUCCUAAUCUUGGUUUGGGUAAUCAUCGAUUGUUUUGCUAACCUCUUGGCACUCGGAAUCAUCAGUUUUUCAUUGCUUUAUUUUGAUUGUGUUUGCUUAGUUAUUGGAAAUAAAUUUCGUUCCGUUGAAGAUAUUAUUGAUGAAACAGCAUUAAGGUGUCUCAAGAAGCGAAAAGAGCCCCAAAUCUUUUCAUCGUUAACUGAACUCUUCAACACCUAUCUGGAUGUAAAUGACAUCUGCACGGAUUCUGACAGUUUUUGGGGAAAAGUAGCCUUUUACAUAAUCUUUUGUAACACUGCAUUAUUCUUGUUUGUUACUUAUUCAUUCAUUUAUGGUGAGAAUAAUUCAAAUUUGAAAAUUUACUACAUUAUGGUUUGGUCAAAUAGCCUAUUCGUCCUUUAUAAAAUUUGCCAGUCCUGUUAUGAUGUUUCUUAUGCUUCAGCGAAACGUGGUUACGAUAAUUUGUCCAAAAUCAAUGAAUUUGAAGCUUCAAAGAUUGUUAUGAUGAAGAUCUUGGCUUUUCGGCGUUAUAUGGAUUCAGAGAGCAUUGGCUAUUCAGGAAUUUAUACUAAAAUCACAUACGAAACACUUUUUUCGUGGAUGUUUCUGAUUGCCUCGCUUUUCCUAAUUAUCAUGGACUUUGCCAACGGAACACUUCCAACUGGAUUAAGCAUGAAAUAUUUGUGAAUUCAUGAGCUGUUUCCCUUUAUAAAAAUCAAUCAAAAGACCCCCAUGAAAAUUGAAACAAUCAAACAAGGAAGCCCAUUGAUGUUGAACCUCGAUUUAAGGAUGCAUAUAGGAACUGGAUAGACAUUAUUCAACAAGUUAUAAGACUACUCAUGGUUUCUCAGUUUCUAGAUAUGCUCACAAACAUUUCCCAACAUUUCUCAACUUUAGACGGAAGAUACAAGAUGAUUUAAUUGCCAACUGAAUUAAAUACUACUCGCUGUUGUAAUUUCAAGGUGAACCCAAGUCUGCUUUUCUAUGUGCCUGUUGAAAUACUCAUAAGGCAAAAUUCAUUCAUUCAUCAUUCCAGAUAACUAAUUAAUAUUUCAUUGUAAGCUUGAGGCGUAAAAUUGCAAGUAAUAUCGACAGUAUAAUGUGUUGUUGGCUUACUAUUGGUUUCACGCUGCUAAUUAAAAAAAGACAAUAAAUGAUCAGGAAAAGUGUAAACAAACCAUUUACAUGGGAAUCGUAGAGUAAUGGAAAGUGACUGCAACAAUUGAAGGUUCUGUUGGCCACAAAUGAACGCUGUUUUAUUCAACAUUGAAAGUUGUAUCCAUAGUAUGAGUGGAAAUGAAGUCAAGAUUUUUAAUAGUCAAAUGAUGAUGAAGUCAGCAGCAAAGAAUCAAGAAUAAAGCUUCUUUUUUCAGGAUCUUAGCGGCCUUCAAGUUGGCUGGAUCAAAGCAGCAGCAAAGGGAUUGCUCAAGAAAAUUAUAACCACUUUAGCACCUAUUUUAAUGUCUCUCCAUCUCACUAAUUAAUUCACUAACUCUCCCUCUCUAAUCAACUUUCAACUAAUUAACUGUGAAUUAUUUCUUCAUGGGCAAGUUAACCACGAUCAUUGAGCUGAUUCAAAGUAAACAAAGUUUACCUUUUUCUAAAUUCCUAUUUAUAUUUUUGAUUGAUUAAUAUGGCUACAAGUUGAUCAUUUGUAACUGUUGUAACUAUAUCUGUUGUAACUCAAAUUUAAAUUACCUUCAAAGUUAAAGUUAUUAAUCGCAAAGAAAUAAAUUCAAUUUAAACUAAUGAACCGAAAAGACAAGUUUACUAAUUCAAUUUUUUGAUUUUUCCCAAUUGAAAUCUUGUUUCACCUUACUCUUGCCAUUCAUCUCUAAACCAUAAUGAAGACAAUAAUUAACUGGAAAAAGGACAAGAAUGAUUUAAUCAAAAGUGUCCUCAUCUGUUUAAGUUUAAUAACCACUGGUUGUGGAGUUUCCCUUUUAGGUGCAACUCUUAUUGAUCUUGAAAUAAGUGCCAACUCGUCUAAAUCACAAUCAAGCUUCAUAAUCGCGGCUCGGGCAGUUGGAUAUGCAAUUGGAUCAAUUUCGGGUGGAUUCCUUGGUGAUAAUAUACCAAUUGUUUGGAUUCCUAUGGGCUCUCUGCUUUUGGUUGGAUUGUCCAAUCUGUUUCUUCCCUGGAUGAGAUCUUUUUGGACUCUGGCUCCUUGGCUUGGACUUUCUGGUUUUGGUUUGGGCAAUUUGGAAGUUUUAAUCUUGUUCAAUCUGUUUGUACUUUCAUUGUAGCUGCCAACCUUUGGCUAAUCAACAUUUGGACAAACAAAUGGUCACCAAUGAUCUAUUCAACUUCAUUCUCGUACGGGUUUGGUACUCUGUUGGCACCUUUACUGGCUCAAUCCUUUCUCAUUGACUUUGUCCCAACCUCACCCAAUGAUUUGAUCCUCAACCAAACAACCAGUGAAAUGCAUCAAAACCCCGACGAGAUGAGCCUCCAUUACGCCUUUGAAACCUUUGCCUUCAUCUGCCUGCUGUUGGAUGUACUAUUCAUUGUACUUAUUACAACAAAUAAGCCAAUUCGGAGUGAAAAAAUUGUUCAAGUAUCAGCCUGUUCACCUGAAAAAAAGUUACCCUUUACACCAAAGCUUAUCCUUAAAAUUUUGAUCCUCUUAUUGAGUCACUCAGGAGCCGGGCUUAACAUGGGAUUUGGCUUGCUUUUGCUCAGCUAUUCAGUUCAGUCGGAUUUAAAGUUUACUAAAUCACAAGGCGCCCUUUUGUCCACAGCAUAUUGGACUGUCUACUCCUUUGGACGCAUCUUUGCCUUAAUUUUGAUGAACUUCAUCUCAAACCGUAGUCUAAUGUACAUCCAUCUAACCUUAACAUUAAUCGCUGGAACCAGCCUCUACUUAACUUAUCCAUCCACCAUUGGUCUGGCCUUUUCCGUUCUUCUCAUGGGCAUUGGUCUAUCACCCUUCACUCCACUGGUAUUUUUCAACGUUAAAAGGCGUCUUCACCUUUCAGGCCACUUAACGUCCAUCAUUAUUGUUGGCACCAUUAUCGGUGAAUCCAUUUAUCCACCUUUAAUCGCACACAUAGCAAUUGCCUCUGUUAACCCAUUAGCCUUUUCAUACAUUUGUAUCGCCCUUAGUAUAUCAACAUUUUGCUUCUUCACAGCAUUCGAACUGAUUGGCUGUAAAUUUCAGCCCAAAUUCAACCUGAGUCAAGUUCAAGUCGAAGAAAAGCUAACUAAAUCAUUAAUUGUUCAAACUUAAUCAAUAGCCUUAACCAAACCAGAAAAGGCUUGAAUCCAAAUAAAAAUGAGAAAAGAGUAAAUUUCAAA